rnacentral:rRNA from 1 species
UACGUAGGUGACAAGCGUUGUCCGGAUUUACUGGGCGUAAAGAGCGCGCAGGCGGUCGAUCAAGUCGAGUGUGAAAGCCCCCGGCUCAACUGGGGAGGGUCAUUCGAAACUGGUCGACUCGAAGGCAGGAGAGGGUAGUGGAAUUCCUGGUGUAGCGGUGAAAUGCGCAGAUAUCAGGAAGAACACCCGUGGCGAAAGCGGCUCUCUGGAACGGUACUGACGCUGAGACGCGAAAGCGUGGGGAGCGAACAGG